UCCCCGAGCCCCAGACUGACCCCUCCUCAGGCUGAGAUGAAGGAGCCUCUGUCUCUUGGGGCCCCUGCCUGAUUAGACAUGGCUGCCACAUCAGCGCCUCACUUGCAGUCAGGCACUGAGAGAAGAAAGGCUCCAAGGCCUCCAGGCUGGAAGUAGCUGGCCGGAGGUCUCAUCGGGGAAUGGGUAUUGAGCCUCAACUCCCUCAUUAGGAAAACAGGACAAUGACAUCUGGAAUGUCUGGGAGGAGGACUUAGGGACCUAGUGCCCUGACAGCCAUAAGAGACCUUCCAUAAAGCCAUUUCCUUCCUAUA